GUCUGUUAUAUCACACCUGGCUCCACCACUACAGGUGAUCUAGUCUGUUAUAUCACACCUGACUCCACCACUACAGGUGAUCUAGUCUGUUAUAACACACCUGACUCCACCACUACAGGUGAUCUAGUCUGUUAUAUCACACCUGACUCCACCACUACAGGUGAUCUAGUCUGUUAUAACACACCUGACUCCACCACUACAGGUGAUCUAGUCUGUUAUAUCACACCUGACUCCACCACUACAGGUGAUCUAGUCUGUUAUAUCACACCUGACUCCACCACUACAGGUGAUCUAGUCUGUUAUAUCACACCUGACUACACCACUACAGGUGAUCUAGUCUGUUAUAUCACACCUGGCUCCACCACUACAGGUGAUCUAGUCUGUUAUAUCACACCUGACUCCACCACUACAGGUGAUCUAGUCUGUUAUAACACACCUGACUCCACCACUACAGGUGAUCUAGUCUGUUAUAUCACACCUGACUCCACCACUA